ACCCUGCUUCUGGCUCUGAGCUUUGCUUGUCUUCAGGGAUGGAGCCCCUCCCAAGGCAAGUUCAACUGGGUUCUUUGGCAGCCGAAGUCUACACGGACCCUGCAGGGAGCGGUGGAGAAAAAUCCUAGAGGCUACCUGCAUUCCUUGGCUUUUAUCCCCAAUCUUCCAUCUUCGGAGCCAGCAACAAUAUAUUGAUCAUGAGGAGAGGGCUCACCCCUCACCCGGAGAAGUAGUUGGGGAAGCAAUAUGCGGAAACAAAGCCAUGAAUCUGACAAGAAAUGUACUUAAGAUUGUAUAUAUGGAGAUGAAUACCCAUUGUCCUUUGCACUUUCUGGAUGAUAAAUUAGAAAAGAAAAAUCCAAAGAAUGAAGUUGUGCUAUUUGUCCUCACUUCUGAUUUGGGAAACUAGAGGAAAUUAAGAUGGGAAAAGACCAUGUGAGGACACAGUGAGAAGGAGACCAUAUGCAAAGCAGGAAGGAAGAUCUCACUGGAACCAAAAACCAGCCCUGCUGGCACCCUGAUCUUGGACUUCUAGCCUUUCUCAGAACUGUGAGAAAAUAAAUUUCUGAUGUUUCAGCCAC
rnacentral:lncRNA from 1 species